AUGGGACACCAUAACAGUAAGAUUCCUUUCAUUUCUAUAAUGCAUCACUUUCUGAAACAAAAUGGUGUCAAUGUUUCAAGAGAUCAGUUGAAUGACUGCUAUCAUAUUUUACUGGAACAUAAUCCAUGGUUCCCAGAAGAGGGGACGCUCGAUCUAGACAUAUGGAAAAGGAUUAAGAAUAAUGUUUUGCGAGCAUAUCGGCAAGGAGUCCGUAUUCCCCCUCAAUGGUGGGUUACAUGGUCACUCAUACGGGCUGUCAUAGAACAAAUUGAAGGGCAUAAUGUUGAUUUGGAAGUAGAAACUGUUCGGUCUUUACAUGAAUAUGAGCUUAAGGAACAAGAUAUGCAAGGUGCUUUGAAAUAUAAGAAUGUUAUGCUCAAUCAGACACAAUCCCUGGAAAAACAGCUUGGAGACGUAUGUAUACAGGAUGUGUCGAAGCCGAAACCACUUGGAGUGGAGGUCAUUUCAUUCAACGGACAGCCCAAACCUGAGGUUUUUCCUUCUGCUUCGUCUGUAACAGCAGUUGCUAACUUUGCUCAUACUAAUCAUUUCACUCCUCCUCGGGAGAUGCCUGCUUGCGCUUUCGCUUUCCCAAUACAGUUUGAUCAGCCUGCCCAAGGCCAGAAUGCUUGGGCUGGUCUAGGUUUUGGUAUGUUGUCCAGCUUUAAGAAAGCAUGCACUCUGUAUGGACCUAUUUCUCCUUACUGUGUAGAAUUCCUCAGAGGAUGGGCUGAUCAUUGGAUGCCAUGUGAUUUUUUUCAAGUAGCAAAGAUGGUUCUAAAUCCUCAACAGUUACUUCAGUGGCAAAUGUGGGUUGAUGAUGAGGCCCAACAAAUGACGACUGACCAGCAAUCUCGUGGUAACCCUGCCAAUUUAGCCUAUGAUAUACUCACUGGAACGGGAGCCAUGGCCGACAUGACUGCGCAAUUAGAUACUAUUACCCCUCAGAUGUUACAUUUCAUUAGAGAAAUUUCUUGCCAAGCAUGGGCAAAGGUUGAUAAUGUUAACUCUGAUGGUUCAUUUGUCAAGAUUACCCAGGGACAUGAGGAGGAAUAUGCCCAAUUUAUAGGAAAAUUAAAGGAUGCCCUCAAAAUCUAUCAGAGAUUAAACCUUACAAAGUAUUAUUUUAAAACAACUUGCCUUUGA
ensembl:lncRNA